rnacentral:rRNA from 1 species
CAGUAGCCACGGGAAUACAGAGGGUGCGAGCGUUAAUCGGAUUUACUGGGCGUAAAGCGUGCGUAGGCGGCUAAUUAAGUCGGAUGUGAAAUCCCCGAGCUUAACUUGGGAAUUGCAUUCGAUACUGGUUAGCUAGAGUGUGGGAGAGGAUGGUAGAAUUCCAGGUGUAGCGGUGAAAUGCGUAGAGAUCUGGAGGAAUACCGAUGGCGAAGGCAGCCAUCUGGCCUAACACUGACGCUGAGGUACGAAAGCAUGGGGAGCAAACAGGAUUAGAUACCCCAGUAGUCCCUGUCUCUUAUAC